rnacentral:rRNA from 1 species
CGCCUUUUGAUUUAUUAACAUAAAAGGUCCUGCCUGCCCAGUGACACUUGUUCAACGGCCGCGGUAUUAUGACCGUGCAAAGGUAGCGUAAUCACUUGUCCUUUAAAUAAAGACCAGUAUGAACGGCAAGACGAGAGCCUAACUGUCUCUCCAUAUUAGUCAAUGAAAUUGAUUUUUCCGUGCAGAAGCGGAAAUAUUAUUAUAAGACGAGAAGACCCUGUGGAGCUUUAAGUCAAAAUUAACUAUUUAGUAUAGUAUAACCAAAGACUUUAGGUUGGGGCGACCGCGAGGUAUAAUAAAACCCUCAAGAUAAAACCAUAGAGGGACACUUCAAAUAAACAAAAUAUUGAUAUAUUGACCCAAAAAUUGAUCAACGAACCAAGUUACCCCAGGGAUAACAGCGCAAUCCACUCAAAGAGUCCUUAUCGACGAGCGGGUUUACGACCUCGAUGUUGGAUCAGGACCCCCAAAUAAUGUAACAAUUAUUAAAGGUUCGUUUGUUCAACGAUUAAAGUCCU